AAGUCGUAACAAGGUUUCCGUAGGUGAACCUGCGGAAGGAUCAUUACCAAUUUGCCGGCGCGAAAGCGUCGACUCAACACCCUGUGUAAACUUACCUUUGUUGCUUUGGCAGGCCGCGGUUUCCGCUGCGGGCUCACGCUCGCACGUGCCUGCCAAAGGACCCAACUCUUGAUGUUAGUGAUGUCUGAGGUACUAUUAAAUAGUUAAAACUUUCAACAACGGAUCUCUUGGUUCUG
rnacentral:misc_RNA from 1 species